AACACUCCAAGCCUUUGGAAGUAAAAUCCCAUAUCAAUAUCCAGCUUGGCAGCUCUCCCAGCUCAACAUCCAUCAGUUUCUUCUUCAUCAGCGCCCUGAACUUGUAGGUGUGGGAGAACUGACCCUGAGGAUCUGGAAGCGGAAGAACCGGCUCCGCCCCUUGCUCAUCCCUACAAGGGGUGACCUAAUCAGGGCAACGCAAGAGAACUCAUCCUGGUGGUGAAGACCGGAGAGCUGGCGGGUUGACCAACCCUGCAACUACCCAGGCCCAGAACCAGAUGUCUGGAUUGGCUGUUUUGGCUAUCAUAAUUCCUCGAGCAGAAAGAGAGAACAUCAAGAUGGAAGUUCCUAGCUACUGCUCCAGUGUCAUGCCUACUUGCCUGCUGCCAUGUUCCCUGGAAUGAUGGCCAUGGACUCUAACCCUGUCCGGUAAGUGUGGUUCUCACCCCUCAUCACAGAAGCUUAUCUUUGCAACAGACAAGACUAUUACAGCAAACCACAACCAAUCCAAAAUGAACAGAAUAUGAGAUCCUGUGGUGUCCUGUCCCAGCUGCUCUAUCUACAACACAAUUCCUGCAUCUAAGGCUCUGGGAUCAUGGAGGAAGUGGGAACAGAAAAACUCUAAAAGAGAGACAAGCAGGAAGUUUGCUGUGAGGCUGUAUCACCUCGAAAUGUCAGAGCCUACAUACAUUAAGUCUCAUCAAUAUGGCUACCUAAAUAAGAUCUGAACAAUGACAACACCAAUGAGCAUGCUAACAUCAAAGAGGGAAAGCUUUUGGGGUCUCAAUCCUUAACAGAGCACUACAGACAACGGGGAAUGCAGAGAAUAGAAGAAAUGGUCUUCAUCAGGGAAGGGCCCUCCGACGGGUAAUCUAAUAUCAAGUGGUCAGCUCUGAGAUCAUAAACAUACAGGUAACAUUAUAUGCACUGAGCAGGCUGCAUAUAGGGAGAACUAAAGAAAGAGCCAUGA